CUGAAAACAGUACAUUGUUUAAACAUAGCAAGACUAAUAUUUUUACAUUUUGUCUUGAGGGAAUCUUGAAUAUCUACCAUGAACGAUGAAAAGCAGGUGGGUUGAUUUUUUUCCUUUAGUUUUGUUUUGGAAACAAUGCAAUCCUGUAAUUUAUAAACAUUGGUAUAAAGUUGUGCUUUUUUGAGGCCUUUACCCCUGGGAUCACCCGAUCAACUUACCUCCUGUUAUUUAUCAGACCUCAGUUUUAAUCAGGUGACAGCGCCAAGUGUCUUUGGUUAUUUCACACUUGCCCUAGGAUCUUUUUAUUUAAAUUUUUUGUCUUUGGAGGGAUUAAACCGAACUCAGUUUACCAGGCACUGGAAUGUAGCGUAAGGUGUAACUUGACCCACUGCAAGGUCAGUUAACUUCCACCCUGGUUUAUGACACGCAUCCUAAGUCUAGAACGGUCCUAUCGAUCAAUCCUCCGAUGAAGGAACUAUUUAUGUUGCCACCUGGCGGUUCCAAACACUCAACAAUAUUUAUAGUCUUGCUCAAUUAGAAUCGGUUCACUCACUGAGCCUGAGGUACUGAGAGUCGCCCCUAUCGUACUUACGCUGGCUUUAUAUAGCAUAUAGCAUCCCCUUAUGGUCCAUUUAAACUAUUUUCUGGUUUUCUCCAAGGUGUGGGUAUUUCCCAGCUGUAAAUCACAAGCCCUUUUUUAAAAAUCGUACCUAAUUAAUGCUGAUCUUCAGUCAGUCCAGUCAUUCUCUGCUCAGACUGGGUCAGAGGUCAGAUCUUUUUAGGGCAGGGACUCAAAUUUCGUAUUCCUUCUCGGGAACGAAUCCCUGGUCAACCCACUUCUUUUUUGCCCUAUAAUAUUCUAUCAAAAAAGGCUUACUUACUAGCAAACCAGAACAAUUCACCUCAAGGAAUUAAUAUAUUUUUACCCAACCUUAGAGCAAACCAGUACCAGACACACUCUCACCGACGAUCGUGUCUACCCUUUUCUCUCAGUUGCCUGCAAGGGACCUGGACGGGGAACUGAUAUCAUCUCUAGGUCUAAGUUUUGAUUUAUUUAGUACGUGGAAUCUCACUGACUACUAUCUCUAGUAAAAACAGGGCUGCGGCUCAGAGGCAGAGGAAUUAUGAUCAAGCAUUUAACAAUCACACACCCACACAGAGACCAAGAGGAGCCCGAGCUCUUACAAAUUCCUACCUUUAUUCAGUCAAUCACUAGUACAGACAGCGCCGGGUUCCGGGAGGGUCCAAUAACCAAAAGUCAGAUGAACUCUUCUUUAGUCUUCGCUCCAAACGCAAAUAAGCGCCAUUAUCGGACCCUCCAGGCCCCUUUUAUAAAUUUUUUAUUCAUGUUCCUCAUGAGGGAGGUUGAUGUGGAAAUUCUUGCACUGAUGUAAACUUGGUCCUAUACAUGUAUAAAUGAGUUACUAGUUAAAGAUGCCAAGAGAGAUCUGGUGUUUGCCUAAGGGGCAUCCUUGACCGGCAUCAGGGGAUUAGAGAGUUACUCGUAAAUCAGUAUAACCUUUUAGUGUCUAUCUGUUGAUUGUCCAAACAUUGUGACUCCUCAGGAGUUGAGAAGGAUAAGGUGGGGGGACAGCCCGCCCUUUGGGUAAAAAUCUAUGUGACACAAGACAGAUGGGCAACAACUUACCACACCCCAUUUUCUCUGUAAUAAAUACUGUUGAAUGACCUGUAUUGAGUUAAGUGACUGCUCGGACGAUUAUGUUUGUAAGCGUUUGACGCGUCUCUAAAAUUUGCAAAUAAUUAAUAAAACUGUUAAAUUGUGCCAAGAGA
ensembl:lncRNA